GUAUCGUAGCCUAUGAGGUUUAUCCGAGGCGCGAUUAUUGCUAGUUGAAAACUUUACCCAAUACCCCGCCGAGACGACUUGAAAUAAAGUCGGCUUUGGCAAUUUUUGAUGGUCUCUCAGGAGACUGAUAUGCUUGUGAAAUAUUAACUUUGAAUCGUACAUAGUGUUACUAAUGCUACCUCUAACGAGCGCAUGAAAAGCUAUUCAUCAUGGAAGUCUGAAAUGAUCCGUGUUGGAAAUCACUGGGUUUGUUCGACUAUGCAGCCGACAGUGCAGAAACAUUGCUCGGAUCUUGUCCCCUGGACCUUGGAGGACUUUUGGUGUGGAUGAUGUUCAGG